rnacentral:rRNA from 1 species
AUUGAACGCUGGCGGUAUGCUUAACACAUGCAAGUCGAACGGUAGCAGGCCUUCGGGCGCUGACGAGUGGCGGACGGGUGAGUAACGCGUAGGAAUCUGCCUGGUAGUGGGGGGACAACGUGGGGAAACUCACGCUAAUACCGCAUACGCCCUACGGGGGGAAAGCGGGGGACCUUCGGGCCUCGCGCUAUCAGAUGAGCCUGCGUUUAGAUUAGCUAGUUGGUGCGGUAAAGGCCCUACCAAGGCGACGAUCUAUAGCUGGUCUGAGAGGACGAUCAGCCACACUGGGACUGAGACACGGCCCAGACUCCUACGGGAGGCAG